rnacentral:rRNA from 1 species
AGCUCCAAUAGCGUAUAUUAAACUUGUUGCGGUUAGAAAGCUCGUAGUUGGAUUUCUGCCGAGGACGACCGGUCCGCCCUCUGGGUGAGUAUCUGGCUCUGCCUGGGCAUCUUCUUGGAGAACGUUACUGCACUUGACUGUGUGGUGCGGUAUCCAGGACUUUUACUUAGAGGAAAUUAAACUGUUUCAAGCAGGCAUACGCCUUGAAUACAUUAGCAUGGAAUAAUAAGAUAUGACCUCGGUUCUAUUUUGUUGGUUUCUAGAGCUGAGGUAAUCAUUAAUAGGGAUAGUUGGGGGCAUUCGUAUUUAACUGUCAGAUGUGAAAUUCUUGGAUUUGUUAAAGACGGACUACUGCGAAAGCAUUUGCCAAGGAUGUUUUCA